UCCCUGACAGUCCAGUGACUAAGGCUCUGCACUUAUAAUGCAGGGGACAGAGGUUCCAUCCCUGGUCAGGGAA
rnacentral:tRNA from 1 species